UACGUAGGGCGCAAGCGUUGUCCGGAAUUAUUGGGCGUAAAGAGCUCGUAGGCGGUCUGUCGCGUCGGCUGUGAAAACCCGGGGCUCAACCCCGGGCGUGCAGUGGAUACGGGCUGGCUGGAGGCAGGCAGGGGAGAACGGAAUUCCUGGUGUAGCGGUGAAAUGCGCAGAUAUCAGGAGGAACACCGGUGGCGAAGGCGGCUCACUGGCUCGUAACUGACGCUCAGGCACGACAGCGUGGGGAGCAAACAGG
rnacentral:rRNA from 1 species